rnacentral:piRNA from 1 species
AAAAGUUUUAAGAGUUUGGAAGACUUAAG